GUUCGAGUUUUUGGUUGCAUUUGAUUACUGGACAUUAUUGGAUCCUUCUGCUGGUUGGAGUUUGGUUCAAAACUGGUUUUCCUUCCGUUAUUUUUGGGCUGUGUUGUUGCUGUGUUGUUCAGCUGCUGACCUUUUGCUGUUUAUUUCAUUUUCCAGGUACAUUUUACACUCCACCUCAUGUGUAAACUGAUUUGAUGAAUGAAGAUGGAAAUUCUGCAAUUUCAAUAUGUUUUCAGCCUUCUACUAUGAAUUUAACCUUGUUACUGUUUCAUUUAUGGGUUCUACAACUUAGAUCAUUGCCCUUUUGUAAUUAAUUUUAAUCUGAGUAAAUGUUUUGCGAGCUAUCUAUUUCUGUUCUGUUUUUUUUCUGAUUAUUUCACUUGUGCCCUUUGUUUUGGUAUAUCAGUCAAUGAUAUAACAUGAACACUGAAGGCUCAUUUUAAGGCUGCAAGUAGGUCUUUCGUUUUCCAUUUGUUGAUCUUAAUUAUUAUUGACUUAUCUUUCGUGAGUUUUAUGAGAAUCAUGCUUAUCCAAUUAACUUAGUAUUGGGUGUUUGUUUGUUCUCUGAUCUCUCAAAGUUUGAAGUAGUUUGGAAUUUGCCAAUUAACAAAUCAA
rnacentral:lncRNA from 1 species